rnacentral:rRNA from 1 species
GAUGAACGCUAGCGGCAGGCUUAAUACAUGCAAGUCGAGGGGUAACAGGUCUGUAGCAAUACAGAUGCUGACGACCGGCAAACGGGUGCGGAACACGUACAGAACCUUCCUUCGAGUGGGAGAUAGCCCAGGGAAACUUGGGGUAAUAUCCCAUAGGAUCAUAGAGUGGCAUCACUUAGUGAUUAAAGAUUUAUCGCUUGAAGAUGGCUGUGCGGCUGAUUAGGUAGUUGGUGUAGGUAACGGCUCACCAAGCCUUCGAUCAGUAACUGGUGUGAGAGCACGACCAGUCACACGGGCACUGAGACACGGGCCCGACUCCUACGGGAGGCAGCAGUAAGGAAUAUUGGGCAAUGGAGGCAACUCUGACCCAGCCAUGCCGCGUGGAGGAUGAAGGUCCUCUGGAUUGUAAACUUCUUUUAUUUGGGAAGAAAUGCCGAUUUUCUAAUUGGUUUGACGGUACCAGAUGAAUAAGCACCGGCUAACUCCGUGCCAGCAGCCGCGGUAAGAC